GUAAUACUGUAUUCCUUUAGCUCUGCCACCUGCAAUUCAUUAGUCUGAUGUUACUUGCCGUGUCCAUUGCCUGCACCUCUCACCAGUGGAUGUUGCAAUGUGCCUAUCAUCUGUUCUAAGCUCACAGGAAUGCCGAACCUUGUAUUUCUUGGGAGGUCCUAAUGAGGGCCACGGGCUCUGGGGUAUUCCUGAAGAGAUACCAGGGGUUCUCACCAAAGAGAUGUCACACUAUUUUCGGAGGCUGAGGUUCCAGACCACGAGUAUCUGGCUCAUCAAAGAAGAAAAGACACAGCAGGAGACAGAUUUCCAACGCGGUUCAGUGAAGCUUCUGGCCAUGCCCGGGCACUGGGGCUUUAGGCUCAGCUCAAAUUCCAGACUCUGUCUCACUUCUCAAGUCAGUGUCCCUGCUGCUAAAGCCUGCAGCCUCCUUUUUCAUUUACCUCAUCUGUAGAAGUCUUGUCUGAGCCUGAGUGGGCAUUUUUAAAAACAGUUUUAAUAUUAAAAUGUCAGUGUUUCCUCAGACUGUGACCAGCUUGAACAUGACACCCUGAUCACUCAGCACCUGAUGUCGUUUGCAAAUGGCACGUCCCAGGCAGCUGCCUUUCAGGACAGGCACUCGGUUCUGUGAGCACUUCACAUCGGAAAAGCCAACCACACUUCGUCCCUCCGUGGGCUGCCGGAGAACCCAAACCAAAAGUACCAAGACCGGAGGGAAAGAGCUCACCACCGAAGCGCAGCAGGCUCUGGAGAGGCUCAGAAAUGCUCACAGGACCUGCCUGGCUGGAAGCAAUCAUUCUGGAAAGCAAUGGAGGAGUCGGGGCAGAAACGCUGAGCGGGGGUGGCAGGAAUCGGAACACUGGCGAGCAGAGCAGUGACUUCGGCAACUGUGAGACCCAGGACGUCAGCAGAACAGCGUCAUGCACAGGUGGGUCCACAAUGGGGCAAGUGAGGACAGCCUCUCUCCGCUCCCUAGGCUGAGCCCAGAAACCUCACCACCAUCUACCCUGCUGCCUGAGAACAGGUCGGACCUCUGGGAUUUGUUGUGAGCAAAGCCUGGACAGGAUGCGGCCUGUGAAGGCUCCCGUGAGACUUCCAUCUGGUGCCCAGGACCUCAGAGGGCUCUCCGCUGUGGACAGGUCAUUAAAGACAACGUUGUUCCUAUCUACUGGAGAAGGUCACUAAGGACAAGGACGUACGCAAUACAAGAAUAAAUAAGAGUCUUAACCCGCCGAAGGUAGAGAGGGGAAGAAGCGCAGGAGGACGCAGUCCUUUGCCCAUUCUUAACACCUUGCCUGAGCCUUAGCUGGCGCCAGGCAGGACGCCGGGGGCAGGCAGCAACAGAGCCGGAACUGCAUGUCUCCAUUUGCUGGGCAGUACAGGGACCACCCACGCUAGAAUACAGGACUGGGCUCCUGACUCACCCUAAAUCUAUUAGAGAAAAGUAAGGAAAGUCAGCGCCCCCAAACCCAGGAGGAAGAAGGUGUGACUGCUCACAGAACCCAGUGCUCUGACCUCCACUGCAGAAAGGCUGCAGAGACACAGCCUGCUUCGCCCUCUGAGUCAGGUCAGCAACGUAUGAACCAAACAGAGACAUUUCCUGAAGGUACCCAGCCUCUCCAGACGGCGACGCCUCCACUACACCUGAGAGGGACGAUGACGAACCUUCAGCGUUCUGUGAUCACUGGAAUCGGCGCCCGUCAAUGGCAGGUGGCAACUCUGGCUUUCUUGAUUUCACCUCCGGAGCUCCUGAGGUCGCCCUAGUUCACACGUUCUUCACUGCUUGGGCCUCCAGAUCGCAAGCUCUCACUGAAGCCAGCCCCAGGCCUCACAGGCCACUGUCAUGGGCAGACAGUGAGUACGUGAAAUUCAUCUCAGCGAGUCCAGGCCACACCGUGACUUUCACUUUUUCUUCCCAUCGGUGCACGGUUCUAUUUUAACACUUGAUCUUCUGUCCAAUCAAAUAGUGGCCUCUUAUGCUGACCUGAGAGGUCUUGUAAGACCCUCAAGAAUUCUUUAUCUCAUAGGAUGCUAAAACAGUACCUGGCCAGGGUAGGUACUGCAUGAGCAUUUAUUUUUUAAAAAGCAAUUAAAACACUGGAAAGGUACUCCACUUCUUUCUUCUUCCUCAAGCUUAAAAAUUAACUAUAAAAGCUGGACAAAUCUAUAAAGAUCACCAGAUUCCCCUGGGAAAGUUUCUGUAUCUACAUUAACAUAAAAUUCAGACAAUGUUUAUCUAUCAGGCUUUUUAAAUAUUAGCAACCCUGUUAGCACUCAUACCUUCUUCCUCUUUGGAAAUGAAUGUGUUACCUUACAUAAUCAGUCUAUUGAUGGGAGACGUGUGGCUGUAAAUUCACUUAUGGGGUAUGUUAUCGAUU